rnacentral:lncRNA from 1 species
CUCUUUAAAUUUUAAAAAACACCAAGUCUCUAUUUAAAAAAGCUUAUAAUUUCUGCAAAAUCUUGUCGGAUUGUUGGCACUAACCACAACUCAAUUAAAACGUAACACUUUCCACGAAUCUCAAUUGUGAUUUGGUUUAACCAGCCUCACGUUACUCCGAAUAUAACUCGACCCAAUAUAGCCUUCUGCCACACAUCAAAAUGCUAGGGCGCAAAUUCAUAGCAUGCGAAAAUUAAAUCCGCGAUCUCUAAUUCUGAUACUACUUAUAAAAUUAUUGGCGCUAAUUAUUAACCCCAAAAGCUCAAACUAUUAGAAAUAUACUACCAACUUAGUUAAAACGUAUAGAUGCAACGCCCAUGAGUCUCUAUUAUGACUUGAUUCAAAUAAUCUCACAUUAUUUUGAAUAUGACUCGGCCCAUUCUAGCCCACGUCAUUUUGAACUUAACUCUGCUAAUCUGACUUUCCGCCGUAAGUCAGAAUGUUGGCUCCUUUAAGACGACACACCUUAUCUAAAAAAUUAUAGAAUUUACUAACCUAUUUUAAAUUUUAGAUAAAAAGAAUAAUACCACAAGUAAAAUAUAGAAGGCUUUUAGCAAACUACAUUAGAUAGUGUCAGUUUAUUUUUAACUAUUUGAGAGUUUUCUUGAAUGAUCGUUACGUGAUUUGAAUAGUGUGACUAGCGUAAGUAUGGGAUCAAUCAAUUGGAUAAAAUUGUAUUUUACGGCAUAAUUUUUAAUAUACAUUUGUAUGCAUAAAUCAGUGUCGGUGCUACUACUUUUUUGCCGCAGUGCUGAGCUGUACGCUUGUACCUAUGUUCCGAAUAGUCAACAGCUGUUGACUUUUAUUAUGUGAAUCUGGAGAUUAGAUCUAUCAAUUUUUUAUUAAAUCAUUGUUCCGUUGGGUAGCGUUUGAUUCGAGAAUAAGGAGAAAAUAAGCCCUCAUUCCCCCUUUGUUCCCAAACGUGAUAUUUGGUAUUCAGGAACAGCAGUUCCGGAAAUUUCAAGAACAAUAGUUCCAGAGUUUCAAGAACCCUUUUUCUAAAAUAAGCUUGUUCCUUAAUGAGAACAAAAUUAAUUAAAAUCUAAAUUUAAUUUUAAUUAACCAGUAAAUUAUUAAUUAAUCUAAUUAAUAUAUUUAAAUUAAUAUUUAUUAUUUUAAUAAUUUAUUAAUUUAUUAAUUUAUUAUUUAUAAUUAAUUAAUAAUAAUUAGAUAAUUAUUAUAAUUAAUUUAUUAUUAUUUAUAAUUAUUUAUUAAUAAUUAAUAAUAUUUAUUGUUAUUUAUUAAUAAUUAUUAAUAAUUAUUAUCCUUAAUAAUUAGAUAAUCGAAAGUAUUAUUAAUUUAUUAUUUAUAAUUAAUUAUUAAUAAUUAGGUAAUUAUUAUUAUUAAUUUAUUACUAGUAAUUAAUUAUUAAUAAUUAUUAUUUACUAAUAAAUAUUAAUUAUUAUUAUUAUUUAUUAAUAAAUAUUAAUAAUUAUUAUUAUUAAUAAUUAGAUAAUCGAUAUUAUUAUUAAUAAAAAUUAGAUAAUCGAUAUUAUUAUUAAUUUAUUAUUAAUAAUUAAUUAAUAAUAAUAAUUAAUAAUUAUUAUUAUUUUAUUAAUAAUUAUCAAUUAUUAUUAUUAUUAAUUAGAUAUUCAAUAUUAUUAAUUUAUUAUUUAUUAAUUAAUUAUUAAUAAUUAUUAAUACUUAUUAUUAUUUAUAAUUAAUUUAUUAAUAAUUAAUUUAUUAUUUAUUUUUAAGUAAUAUUUUGAUGUUAAUUAAUUACAUAAUAUAAUUUUAAUUUUAAAUUAUAACUCUUAUUCCUCUUAUUACAAUUUAACCAUCCAAAUACUAUUUACCUUAUUACUAGAAACAACCCAAUUUUCAUCUAAACGCAAAAUUGGUCUAGUUCCUGCUUAUAUCUGAACUUGUACCUAUCCCUGAAACUAGCAGUUCUUACUUAUACCCGAACCAAACGCAGCCGAAAUUCGAGUUUGGUUCGGAAACGAGAGGAAUAAAUUCUUGUUCCCUCUUUAUUUCCGCAUGUAAUUUUUAGCAUUGAAAAAUAAUAGUUCUCAUAUUUCUAAAAUAAAUUGGUAUAAUUCGGUAUAAAUUUGAAAUUGUUGUUCCAUCCUUUUUUCUAAAACAAACAUAUUUCCAAAUGAAAAUAAGAUCAAUUAAAAUUAAAUUUUAAUUUUAAUUAUAAUAUUAAAUUAUUAUUUAAUCUAAUUAAUAUAUUUAAAUCAUUAUCCAAUUGCUUUAAAUAAUAAAACAAUUAAUUAAUUUAUUAUUUCUAAAUAAUUAGCUAAUUAAUUAUUAAUAAUUUAAUAUGUAAAUUAAUAUUUAUAUUGAUCAGCCAUUAAUUUUUUUAUUAUCUAAUUAAUUUUUUUACGAGUUAUCAAAUUAAUAUAAUUUACUAACUAAUUAAAAAGUUAAAUUAUUUUUAUAUUAAAUUAAUUAAUUAAUAUAUUUUUAUUAUUUUAUACAAUAUUCAUACUUUCAUUCGUUAGUUUAUUCAAUUAUUCCAAUCUAACCAUCNUUUCGAACCAAACGGAAGCUAAAGAAUAAAAAUUAAUAAUAAUAGCAAACUAGGCUUAAGCAAUUAAUUUUUAUAAUUCAAAAUAUAACUAUAUUGUACGGACACGAGGGUAGGGGGCAGAGUUAUUAUUAUGCGGACGGUGCGAUGGACGGGGAAAUGGGAACCGGAUUGUAUGGGGACUUUUUUUUUUUUUUAUUGAGAUAGUAUGGGGUCAAGCGUGGUGGAGACCAUAGUUAGUUAGUGGAGAGUCUGGAGACUUCGAGUGGGUGGGGCCCGAGGUUGCCCUGUUAAAUUGAUAAUUAAUUACAGAUUGGUCCUUAAAUUUCUCAGAAAUUUUAAUUCAGAUCUUUUUUAUUAUAAUCAUAUUACAAAUAUUUAUUAUGAAUUUCAAUGGAAUCACUUUUGACAAAAAGUUAUUAUCACUUGGCAAAAUCUGGCGCUUCCGCGGCAUUAAUUUGAUAAAUUUGAUAAAUAUUGGUUAAUGCUAACGGAGUAGUUUGGCUAAAUUACAAAAAAUUUUCUGUCAAUACCAGCUUUUUUAUUUUUUUGUCAUUUAAAAAUCUACAAUUUACUCUGUUAUAAAAUUAAAAUAUUUAUAUAAGAAUAUACUGUGACAAAAUAAUUAAAUUGUCCUCAACUUCUUCGGGUUGGGUGUGGACAGAGGGUGGACGAGGGCGAGAGUGGGGCGACGGAGGUGAGCGAGGACGUGUGUGUGGACAUGGACAGAGAGGUGGGUGAGGGCCAGGCGGCGAAGGGCGAGGUGGUGCGAUCGAGAUCGGUGAGGAAGGAUGAGGAUUUUAAGGAUAUUUUGGGUAUAAAAAAUGUGAUAUAAACAGAAUCCAAACGGUACUCUAACUGAACACUUACGGCGGGUCAAAGUGAACAUUUUUUAUUUUAUAAAGAAAUAAAAUGUAGGUUGAGAAGUUUCUGUAAUUUAGCCUAGUAGUUUUUGUUAAAAUAAAUAUUUUUGAAUACUAAAAAUUAUGAAUAUGAUCUGAAAAAGUUGGCAAUGGAAAAUAAAAUGAUAAUAAAGUUGUGGUACAAAAACUCUUAAAUUUUAAAAAACACCAAGUCUAUAUUUAAAAAAGCUUAUAAUUUUUGCAAAAUCUUGUCGGAUCUUUGGCACUAACCACAACUCAAUUAAAACGUAACACCUUCCACGUAUCUCAAUUGUGAUUUGGUUCAACCAGCCUCACGUUACUUCGAAUAUAACUCGACCCAAUAUAGCCUCCUGCCACACAUCAAAAUGCUAGGGCGCAAAUUCACAGCAUGCGAAAAUUAAAUCCGUGAUCUCUAAUUCUAAUACUACUUAUAAAAUUAUUUGUGCUAAUUAUUAACCCCAAAAGCUCAAACUAUUAGAAAUAUACGACCAACUUAGUUAAAGCGUACAGAUACAACAUCCGUGAGUCUCUAUUAUGACUUGGUUUAAACAAUCUCACAUUAUUUCGAAUAUGACUCAGCCCAUUCUAGCCCACGCCAUUUUGAACGUAACUUUGCUAACCUGACUUUCCGCGCACAGGUCAGAAUGCUGGCUCCUUUCAAACGACACACCUUAUCUAAAAAAUUAUAGAAUUUACUAACCUAUUUUAAAUUUUA